rnacentral:rRNA from 1 species
AGUGAACGCUGGCGGUAGGCCUAACACAUGCAAGUCGAACGGCAGCACAGUAAGAGCUUGCUCUUACGGGUGGCGAGUGGCGGACGGGUGAGGAAUACAUCGGAAUCUACUUUUUCGUGGGGGAUAACGUAGGGAAACUUACGCUAAUACCGCAUACGACCUACGGGUGAAAGCAGGGGAUCUUCGGACCUUGCGCGAUUGAAUGAGCCGAUGUCGGAUUAGCUAGUUGGCGGGGUAAAGGCCCACCAAGGCGACGAUCCGUAGCUGGUCUGAGAGGAUGUAGAGCCACAGUGAAACUGAGACACGGUACAGACUCCUACGGGAGGCAGCAGUGGGGAAGAUUGGACGAUGGGCGGAAGCCUGAUCCAGCCAUGCCGCGUGGGUGAAGAAGGCCUUCGGGUUGUAAAGCCCUUUUGUUGUGAAAGAAAAGCAGCAGGUGAAUACCCCGCUGUUCUGACGGUACCCAAAGAAUAAGCACCGGCUAACUUCGUG